AGAACCACAUCAUACUAAAAUAAGAGAUCAUCAUAUUUACAGCUGGAUCCGAAUAUAAAAGAAAGCUAUAAAAAAAAGAAGGGACACGGAAGUUGGAAAUCAAAUGAGAGAAACACGACACGCACGCGAGGAAAAGUGCCGGAAUGAAGAGUGCCCAUCGUGACUAUAGACGCGUGAACUGGACUCGGAAAUAAGGACUGAUGAACCAACGAGAUUACAACGUACAAUACAAAUGACGGACUCCAUCAUGUACAGCACGAAAUAGUUCAUUUUCAGGAAGCAGAAUAGCCUUUUGUUACACGACGUUCAGUGUCUCUUUCACUCCAUACAUUGACUGUGUCUUUCGGUCUGUAAGAUACAGCGUACAUGAAUAUGUUCAAAACAAAGCGCAAAAUCGAUAAGAGCGUUCCUAUGACAAAUUCAUGAUGAGGUUCAUCGAGGACGAAGGGUAAAAUAUUAACGGGCACAUGAUAUCAUGCGGCCGGUAGUUCAG